rnacentral:rRNA from 1 species
UUGUUUAAUUCGAAGCAACGCGCAGANCCUUAACCAACCCCUUGACAUNCUGUGCUAUAUCCAGAGAUGGAUAGUUCCCUUNGGGNACGCAGUGACAGGUGCUGCAUGGCUGUCGUCAGCUCGUGUCGUGAGAUGUUNGGUUAAGUCCGGCAACGAGCGCAACCCACAUCUUUAGUUGCCAGCAGUUCGGCUGGGCACUCUAAAGAAACUGCCCGUGAUAAGCGGGAGGAAGGUGUGGAUGACGUCAAGUCCUCAUGGCCCUUACGGGUUGGGCUACACACGUGCUACAAUGGCAGUGACAAUGGGUUAAUCCCAAAAAGCUGUCUCAGUUCGGAUUGGGGUCUGCAACUCGNCCCCAUGAAGUCGGAAUCGCUAGUAAUCGCGUAACAGCAUGACGCGGUGAAUACGUUCCCGGGCCUUGUACACACCGCCCGUCACCACCCA